UGAGAACCCUCCCUGUUCCACUCCAGUAGCAGCCAUGUUGCCUGUAGUCCUGUUACUGUUGGUAUCUGCAUCCUGUAUCAGAGGUCAGGUUGUGCUCACACAGUCUCAGCAGGCAGUGCUGGGAACUCCAGGAGGAACUCUUAAACUGACUUGUGCCUGCAGUGGAGUUAAUCUGGGGGGCACAUACAUGAAUUGGAUCCGCCAAGCUCCAGGGAAAGGACUGGAAUGGCUCAUGUAUUACUAUUCUGACAGUAACAAGAACACAGCCCAGACGGUCCAAGACAGAUUUACUGCAUCCAAAGACAGCUCUAAUUUCUACCUGCAUAUGACCCAGCUGAAGACUGAGGACACUGCAGUCUAUUACUGUGCUAGAGAGUCACAGUGGUUAAGCCAAUACAACCAGCUGUACAAAAACAUGACAGAGAGACAUAAGAAGUUACAGACACCUGCUGUAGCAGUGAAAUCAUUUAUGUGUCAAGGGACAGCUGACAACAUCUUGAAAACGAAUGUCUGUCACACAAUAUUUACUUUUUCUCAUGAAACUCAACUGUUCCUCCUUAAUGUAUUGAUUAGCUGA